rnacentral:rRNA from 1 species
AUUGAACGCUGGCGGCAUGCUUUACACAUGCAAGUCGAACGGUAACAGGGUGCUUGCACCGCUGACGAGUGGCGAACGGGUGAGUAAUGCGUCGGAACGUGCCGAGUAGUGGGGGAUAACGCAGCGAAAGUUGUGCUAAUACCGCAUACGUACUGAGGUAGAAAGUGGGGGACCUUCGGUCCUCACGCUAUUCGAGCGGCCGACGUCAGAUGAGGCAGUAGGUGAGGUAAAGGCGCACCUAGGCGACGGUCAGUAGCGGGUCAGAGAGGAUGAUCCGCCACACUGGGACUGAGACACGGCCCAGACUCCUACGGGAGGCAGCAGUGGGGAAUUUUGGACAAUGGGCGAAAGCCUGAUCCAGCCAUGCCGCGUGUCUGAAGAAGGCCUUCGGGUUGUAAAGGACUUUUGUCAGGGAGGAAAUCCCUAGUGCUAAUAACACUGGGGGAUGACAGUACCUGAAGAAUAAGCACCGGCUAACUACGUGCCAGCCGCCGCCGUAA